rnacentral:rRNA from 1 species
GCCGGUGGUUAUAGCACGAGGGCCACACCUGUUCCCAUUCCGAACACAGCAGUUAAGCCUCGUAGCGCUGAUGGUACUGCCAGGGCAACUUGGUGGGAGAGUAAGACGCUGCCGGUG